GUUUAUCUAAAAAUGACCUAGCUCUACUCCAUUAGGAAGGGAAAGAUCCAUUUCUGUCUCUUGUCCUCAACAUUUUAUAGAAUCCCGCUUCCUUCUGAGAGUGCUCUGUAUUUUUAAAGCUUAGGACCAAAUUUCAAAAUUACACGGCAUAGGGAGAGUUGAAUUGCUCCUGCUUCUCGCCCAAUGUGUUUGCCAUCUGGACUGCCACUAACAGCUAGAAAUGCCCCCUUCCUCCCAAAGAAAAAAUAAAAGGUUUUCGGUAACAGAGCCUGUGCUCACAAGACUCUCCCUUGGGCAGAAGCAAGCACAAAGGCGCCUUUGUCUUCCUCUUGAACAGGAUUCAAGGCAGCAGCCCUGGUUUCUUUGCUUAUGGGUCCGCCAGGCUGUUCAGCAUGACAGGAGGAAGCAGAGUGUGUCUGUGGCCCUCCCACCUGCCACACCACUCAGAGUCAAAUGGAAGCAGACCUUUGGGUGUCCACAUCAUGCUUCUGAAGUCCAGCCAAAAGCUCUUAACAGGAGUCUUCAAAGAAACAGUCUUUCCUCUGGUUAUAUUUGUAUGGUUACCUGCUGUUAUUUCCUGCGCAAGCAAAUAUUGACUGAGUUCCUACAAGUGCGCAUAAAUGGAUCAUGA
rnacentral:lncRNA from 1 species